AGCCUCUCAAGUAGCUGGGACUACAGACAUGCCUGGAUGUGGGAACUGAGAGAAGGAUUGGGACUUGCCUAAGAUCAUUGGUUCAUGCCAGCACAAAGUCCAAUGCCAGUCUUCAGAUCUGGAGAGGAUGCUUAUAGGGACACCCAUUCCCCUGAGGGACAGGACUAAAAGAAAUGGCUUCAACUUGCAAACAAAAGGAUUCAGGUGAGACCUGCACCUCUCUGAGAGUGCUGGCAGCAUUCAAUCAUCUUAGUGAGAGGAGACUGUCUAAGGGCUGUCUUUCCCACCAGAAGGUGAGCUCCCUGAGGGCAGAGCCCUGACAGCCCCCAGCCCAGGGUUGGUGCUCCAUACCUUGUGUUGAAUGGGUGCAUGAACUAAUAGGGCCCUAAGGAGAGAAUAACCAGCUCUGCUCAGACCAGAAACACCCAAAUUCUCAAGUCAAAAGGGCAGAGCUAUUGUCUUGGCUCUAUCCCUAACUUGCUGGGCCACUUUGAGUAAAUACAUCCAUUCUUUCUUUGGACCUUAACUUUCUGCCCAGCUUCUCUUGCAGAGCUACUGGAGACUCCAAAGAGUGAGAAGGUAUGUGGAGCCACAUCCCACUCUGGUAAGGAAUCAGAUUUCCAGGUUUAAACACUUGUGACUGGCUGUCUAUAAAGAUAUCUUCCUGGGUCAAUGCUGGGCUCCCCAUCCCAAUGUGUUGUCAGGCCAGAACACCUCCCCCCAACACCCACCCCCAACAAAGAGCAGUAGAAGGAACCACUGAUCCCAGAAACAGCCCUUCCCCGAGAAUCUCAGAAUGAGGGACAAACAUGAUUUGCCCCCAGUCCCCUUUAGGCUUAACUUCUUCCACUCUAAUCUGGCCAGUCUCUUCCUUUCUCUUUAGUAUACUUUAACAGAUAAUGAGAGCUAGAUAUGUCAUCAUGCUUCCCUUUUUGCAUUGGCUUUCAGGAAGCUCAGAGUUAAAUUUAGUGCUAAAAUGCAUAAGCAGUCUUAUCCCAAGGGUCUGGGCCAGUGAUCCUUUCCUUUCUCCAUCUUUUUUUUUGAGACAGAGUCUUGCUUUGUUGCCCAGGUUAGAGUGAAUGCUGUGGCAUCAGCCUAGCUCACAGCAACCUCAACCUCCUGGGCUCAGGCUAUCUGUUGGAGGCAAGGAGCCCCAAAGACCCGCAACUCCCCUAUGACUCGUCCUAUGCACGGGCUUCGCCCUGGAAAAUUCAGCAAAAUAGGACAAAAA